CUGCAGGAUAAGGCACACAGUGUUAGUAAUGCUCACAACAAGAGUGCACGGCUGAGCAGGCUCCAUGCUUCUCAGGCUAUGGUGUAUGUGCCGUGACCGAAUCCCUUACCCGUAGCGAUGUCUGACAACAUCUCUGCUCAGUCUCUCUGCUAGGAAGAAGUAUCUGCCAGAAAGAUAACAGGCAACAAUUCCACCAGAAGAUGAUGUGCAUUGGCAUAAAGACUUGUAGUGCAUGGGCCUACCCUACUCCAGGGCCUGAAAGUUAAAAACUUUCAUCUGGAGCAGUGGGGCAAGACACAUAGCAUCUGGAUUAAACAGAGGCAGUCA